CCACAGGCUCUUUUCUGAGCCACUCACAAUUUCUGAGAAAAAAAA
rfam:Canis lupus familiaris chromosome 35, whole genome shotgun sequence.